UCGCGGUAGUUUGAUGUUGAUGGUGGGAGGGCGUGACAGAUCUGGUGCGGGAAAAGUUGCGCCCGGAAGAGGACCUAGGUCCUCGGGGCCAAUGGUGCAUGCGGCGACGUGCGGUACAGUUGUUGUCUAACGCCGAUGACAGAGAGAAGAACCACUAGCGCAAACCACCAACACUCCCAGAUCUGAAAAAAUCAAAGAUUCGGUGUGUGGGCAUGCGCGUGCGACAGAGAUAGAGCGGAUCUGAGCGAGAGAGAACGGAUUUGGGGUUGAGUUGUCGUUG
rnacentral:lncRNA from 1 species